GUCUCGGGGAGACCGGAGCCUGCUGGGGUUCCGCCGCCGUCGUGUUCCGCGUGACGGGAGGCGGAGAGGGCGUACGGUGCGGGGCAACUCAGUCGGGCGGAAGUAAUCCUGUUACAGAAUUCCUUGAAGCCCCGAGCAGGGAAGCAGCGGUUCAGAGUUGCACCGGAGAGGCAUGCAGGCUACCCGCAGAAGUCAGAAGAAGGCAUCAGAUCCCAUAGAAUUGGAGUUCCUGAUGACUGUGAACCACCAUAUGGAUGCUGGGAACUGAACCUGGUCCUCUGCAAGAGCAGCAAGUUCUUUUACAUGAAGAGCUAUGUCUACAGCUCCUACUCAGAAGAUUCUUAAUUAAGUGUAAAUAUGCAAUUUCUUUGUGCCGGUAGGCUCAUUCUGGAAUGCUAACUUGUCAUGUUGGAGGCGGUGGAAAUAUACAGCAUAUGACAAUGGAUAAUUCAGAUGUCAACCCACCAGAGGAGUGACUCUGAUGGAGGUUAAUCCUGUCUAGGCAAGGCCUGCAGGACCAUCAACUCUGGAAUCUGUUGUUUGCUUUUGCUAAAGCAGCUUGGUAUCUCCACAAUACUUGCAUUCGAGUGUGUAAUCUCAUAUGAUGUGAAUAUGUAAUCUCAAGAUUACAGCUCAG